UCAGAUCCAACUAAUCUACAUAAACAAAGACUUUUCUCCUCCUCUUUUCUUCGAUCGUUCUUCUUUCUCUCUCUCUCUUUUCUCUAAACAUCUAAAACCCAACAACUGAAUCUUCGACUUGGUUUCGAAAUUUAAUGACGGAGAUCAAGAAUUUAAUCUAUUGUUUUUCUCUUCUUCGAUUAGGUAUGUCCACUUCCUAAAGUUGUGAUCGUUUUAUUUUGUAAUACGGAAUUCUAGGAUUCUACAAAAUUUUGGGGUUUCUUUUUGACUUGUGUUUAUGAAAUGGUGUCGAGGGAUUUGUUAUUCAAUGACAACAAUUUCAACAUUUAGUGUCGCGUAUAUGCAUUUGACGAUUACAUAAGACUUGAUUUUGGAUCUUAUUUAAAAUUUGCUUCAAUACCAUUAUGCAGUAUAUUUUGAAUAUUUGGCAGAAUCUUGAGUUCAAACAUAAUCAUAUCUAUGAAUAUCGAAUUUGAACUUUAUUUUGAUUUUAUUUAAACAUCUAUACAAACUGUUGGCAAGUUGAGUAAAAUCCUAAAAAAAAAAAAACCCAUUCAAAUUUUGGCUUACAAAUGAUUCUCUAAGGAGGUAAUUUAGAAGGUAUUUUGAGAUAAUUUUUCCUCAACUUGGGUGUUUUGAAUUUAGCAAAAUAGGGUGUGAAUUGUUAUAGUUAGGGUCACUCCUACUCCGUUCUAUUAUUUCGUAAUUAGUCUUCUUUCAGAUUGAAUUUCCAAAUAUGGCCACUUAAUAGUCAACUUUUACUAUUUCUUAAUUGUUCUUUUUUUUUGGCGGACAUGCGGAGUAAUAUGCAUGUAGAUCAUCAUUUCAUUGUGGAUUGUGAGAAGUUAGUUGGAGAUAUUUUCUAGAAUUACUUGCCUGUUGGGGAGAGCUGAAAGGAGAUGGUGGGUGUUACACGAAGAAAGAUUCUGCAGUAAUAUUGCGGCAAGUAAUAUGCUCUUCGGUUUGACUAUCAAAUGAACAAAAAAGUUUGUCACUUACCGCAGGUUUGGAAUUUAGGAAGCUGACCUAUAGGAGGCUACAACGAACUUUCGUCAAGGCUGUAAUAGUAAUUAUCACUCGAGACUUCUUCUAGCUCCAGCUACUAUGAUCGCUGAGACAAGGUUUAAAGUGUAGAUGGUCAGAGCUUAAUCUAUUUAGUCGCAAAAGCGUGUUUCAAUUGUUCUUUGAAUAAUUUAUGUUCUUUAUAACUUUUAUGUAUACCUGAGAAGAUAUUCAACAUCAAGUCUAUUAAAGUGAAAAAAAAUGUAUUUGCUUGGUUUGUAAUUCAGUUAUUCAGUAGGAAUCCCCAUUUCUAUCUUUGUAACAUGAAUAUAUCGAGAUUUAUAUAAUCUACAUCAAUCCGGUGAUUCCUCA